CCUACGGGAGGCAGCAGCGAGGAAUCUUGCGCAAUGGGCGAAAGCCUGACGCAGCAACGCCGCGUGGGGGAUGAAGGUCUUCGGAUUGUAAACCCCUUUUGUCAGGGAAGAAUAAUGACGGUACCUGAUGAAUAAGUCACGGCUAACUACGUGCCAGCAGCCGCGGUAAUACGUAGGUGGCUAGCGUUAUCCGGAUUUACUGGGCGUAAAGGGAGCGUAGGCGGUUCCUUAAGUCGGAUGUGAAAUCUUCUGGCUCAAUCGGAAGGCGCCAUUUGAUACUGAGGGACUUGAGAGCAGCAGAGGGAAAUGGAAUCUGCAGUGUAGCGGUGGAAUGCGUAGAUAUUGCGGAGAACACCAGUGGCGAAGGCGGUUUCCCAGGCUGUUUCUGACGCUGAGGCUCGAAAGCGUGGGGAGCGAAGCGGAUUAGAUACCCGCGUAGUCCACGCCCUAAACGGUGGACACUAGAUAUAGGAGGUAUCGACCCUUUCUGUGUCGAAGCUAACGCUUUAAGUGUCCCGCCUGGGGAGUACGGCCGCAAGGCUGAAACUUAAAGGAAUUGACGG
rnacentral:rRNA from 1 species